GACGUAGGGCGCGAGCGUUGUCCGGAUUUAUUGGGCGUAAAGAGCUCGUAGGCGGUUUGUCGCGUCGUUCGUGAAAACUCACAGCUUAACUGUGAGCUUGCGGUCGAUACGGGCAGGCUAGAGUUCGGUAGGGGAGACUGGAAUUCCUGGUGUAGCGGUGAAAUGCGCAGAUAUCAGGAAGAACACCCGUGGCGAAGGCGGCUCUCUGGGACGGUACUGACGCUGAGACGCGAAAGCGUGGGGAGCGAACAGG
rnacentral:rRNA from 1 species